GACGAACGCUGGCGGCGUGCCUAACACAUGCAAGUCGAACGGAACUGUUUUGAAAGAUUUCUUCGGAAUGAAUUUGAUUUAGUUUAGUGGCGGACGGGUGAGUAACGCGUGAGUAACCUGCCUUCAAGAGGGGGAUAACAUUCUGAAAAGAAUGCUAAUACCGCAUGACAUAUCGGAACCACAUGAUUUUGAUAUCAAAGAUUUUAUCGCUUGAAGAUGGACUCGCGUCCGAUUAGUUAGUUGGUGAGGUAACGGCUCACCAAGACCGCGAUCGGUAGCCGGACUGAGAGGUUGAACGGCCACAUUGGGACUGAGACACGGCCCAGACUCCUACGGGAGGCAGCAGUGGGGGAUAUUGCGCAAUGGGGGCAACCCUGACGCAGCAACGCCGCGUGAAGGAUGAAGGUUUUCGGAUUGUAAACUUCUUUUAUUAAGGACGAAACUUGACGGUACUUAAUGAAUAAGCUCCGGCUAACUACGUGCCAGCAGCCGCGGUAAUACGUAGGGAGCAAGCGUUGUCCGGAUUUACUGGGUGUAAAGGGUGCGUAGGCGGCUUUGCAAGUCAGAUGUGAAAUCUAUGGGCUCAACCCAUAAACUGCAUUUGAAACUGUAGAGCCUGAGUGAAGUAGAGGCAGGCGGAAUUCCCCGUGUAGCGGUGAAAUGCGUAGAGAUGGGGAGGAACACCAGUGGCGAAGGCGGCCUGCUGGGCUUUAACUGACGCUGAGGCACGAAAGCGUGGGUAGCAAACAGGAUUAGAUACCCUGGUAGUCCACGCUGUA
rnacentral:rRNA from 1 species